ACUACGGGAGGCAGCAGUGGGGGAUAUUGCACAAUGGGGGGAACCCUGAUGCAGCGACGCCGCGUGGGUGAAGGAGCGUUUCGGCGCGUAAAGCCCUAUCGGCAGGGAAGAAGGAGGACGGUACCUGACUAAGAAGCCCCGGCUAACUACGUGCCAGCAGCCGCGGUAAUACGUAGGGGGCAAGCGUUAUCCGGAUUUACUGGGUGUAAAGGGGGCGCAGACGGCAGGGCAAGCCAGGAGUGAAAGCCAGGGGCCCAACGCCGGGACUGCUCGUGGAACUGGGCGGCUGGAGGGCAGGAGGGGCAGGCGGAAGUCCUGGUGUAGCGGUGGAAGGCGUAGAGAUCAGGAGGAACACCGGUGGCGAAGGCGGCCUGCUGGACUGCGACUGACGUUGAGGCCCGAAAGCGUGGGGAGCAAACAGGAUUAGAUACCCCAGUAGUC
rnacentral:rRNA from 1 species